rnacentral:rRNA from 1 species
AGAAUCAACGCUGGCGGCGUGCCUAACACAUGCAAGUCGCACGAGAAAGGGGAGCAAUCCCUGAGUACAGUGGCGCACGGGUGAGUAACACGUGAAUCAUCUACCUCCGAGUGGGGAAUAACUGAGAGAAAUCUUAGCUAAUACCGCAUAACACUUACGAGUCAAAGCAGCAAUGCGCUUGGAGAGGAGUUCGCGGCAGAUUAGUUAGUUGGCGGGGUAAUGGCCCACCAAGACUAUGAUCGGUA